UACGGAGGGUGCGAGCGUUGUCCGGAAUCAUUGGGCGUAAAGGGCGCGUAGGUGGCCCGGUCAGUCAGUGGUGAAAGCGCGGGGCUCAACCCCGCGUCGGCCAUUGAUACUGCCGCGGCUCGAGCACUGUAGAGGCAGGCGGAAUUCCGGGUGUAGGCGGUGGAAUGCGUAGAGAUCCGGAAGAACGACCGGUGGCGCAGGCGGCCUGAGC
rnacentral:rRNA from 1 species